AUUGAACGCUGGCGGCAGGCUUAACACAUGCAAGUCGUACGAGUGGCGGACGGGUGAGUAACGCCUGGGAAACUGCCCGAUGGAGGGGGAUAACUACCGGAAACGGUAGCUAAUACCGCAUAUCAUCGGAUGUGCCCAGAUGGGAUUAGCUUGUAGGUGGGGUAAAGGCUCACCUAGGCGACGAUCCGUAGCGGGUCUGAGAGGAUGAUCAGCCACACUGGAACUGCGACACGGUCCAGACUCCUACGGGAGGCAGCAGUGGGGAAUAUUGGACAAUGGGCGCAAGCCUGAUGCAGCCAUGCGGCGUGUAAGAAGAAGGCCUUCGGGUUGUAAAGUACUUUCGGUAGGGAAGCGGUACCGACAGAAUAAGCACCGGCUAACUCCGUGCCAGCAGCCGCGGUAAUAC
rnacentral:rRNA from 1 species